GACAGAGGGUGCAAACGUUGUUCGGAAUUACUGGGCGUAAAGCGCGCGUAGGCGGUUACUUAAGUCGGAUGUGAAAGCCCUCGGCUUAACUGAGGAAGUGCACCCGAAACUGAGUAGCUGGAGUACGAAAGAGGGUCGCGGAAUUCCCGGUGUAGAGGUGAAAUUCGUAGAUAUUGGGAAGAACACCGGUGGCGAAGGCGGCGACCUGGUCCAUUACUGACGCUGAGGCGCGACAGCGUGGGGAGCAAACAGG
rnacentral:rRNA from 1 species